GUAGGGAAUCUUCCACAAUGGACGAAAGUCUGAUGGAGCAAUGCCGCGUGAGCGAAGAAGGUUUUCGGAUCGUAAAGCUCUGUUGUAAGGGAAGAACACGUACGGGAGUAACUGCCCGUGCCAUGACGGUACCUUAUUAGAAAGCCACGGCUAACUACGUGCCAGCAGCCGCGGUAAUACGUAGGUGGCAAGCGUUGUCCGGAAUUAUUGGGCGUAAAGCGCGCGCAGGCGGUUCUUUAAGUCUGAUGUGAAAGCCCACGGCUCAACCGUGGAGGGUCAUUGGAAACUGGAGAACUUGAGUACAGAAGAGGAAAGCGGAAUUCCACGUGUAGCGGUGAAAUGCGUAGAGAUGUGGAGGAACACCAGUGGCGAAGGCGGCUUUCUGGUCUGUAACUGACGCUGAGGCGCGAAAGCGUGGGGAGCAAACAGGAUUAGAAACCCCAGUAGUCC
rnacentral:rRNA from 1 species